rnacentral:rRNA from 1 species
UACGGAGGGGACUAGCGUUGUUCGGAAUUACUGGGCGUAAAGCGCACGUAGGCGGCUUUGUAAGUCAGGGGUGAAAUCCCGGGGCUCAGCCUCGGAACUGCCUUUGAUACUGCAAAUCUCGAGUCCGGAAGAGGUGAGUGGAAUUCCUAGUGUAGAGGUGAAAUUCGUAGAUAUUAGGAAGAACACCUGCGGCGAAGGCGGCCUUCUGGACGAUGACUGACGCUGAGACGCGAAAGCGUGGGGAGCAAACAGG